rnacentral:rRNA from 1 species
UACGUAGGGUGCGAGCGUUGUUCGGAAUUACUGGGCGUAAAGGGCUCGUAGGCGGCCAACUAAGUCGGAUGUGAAAUCCCCAGGCUUAACCUGGGAACUGCAUCCGAUACUGGAUGGCUUGAAUCCGGAGAGGAUGCAGAAUUCCAGGUGUAGCGGUGAAAUGCGUAGAUAUCUGGAGGAAUACCGGUGGCGAAGGCGGCAUCCUGGACCGGCAUUGACGCUGAUGAGCGAAAGCUAGGGGAGCAACGGG